AUGGAGAGACUUGUUAAUGUUCAUUACAUGGACAAGGAGGCAUUCUUAAGUAACAAUGCCGACACGGGUGAGGAACCAUUGGUUUUUGGUACAAGCCCUAGCUAUGAGGAUGUUGUUGCAAAAGUGAGACAAGUCUUAAAGUGGAUGGACACCAAUGUUGAUGUUAAGUUAAUAGGAAGGUAUGAUGUUGGAGUUGGAGCCAAAUCUCGCUUGAAAAGUAUGCCUAUCACCUCGGAUUUGCAUUGGGAUGUAUACAAGGAAAAAGUUUCCCAAUCGGAAGACAAGUCACUUGAAUUGUUUGCCACCAAGGUUGAAUCUCCUAGCCUCUGUAGCUCCUGUUUAGUAAUACAUAAUUUGCCUAGCCUCUGUUUUGGUUGUGUUUUUUGUGUUUAA
rnacentral:rRNA from 1 species